GACCCGUCUUGAAACACGGACCAAGGAGUUUAGCACAUACGCGAGUCAUGGGGUUUUACGAAACCUAAAGGCGCAGUGAAAGUAAAGCCUUGUCUUUUGCAGGGUGAGGUAGGAUCCUAGUUACAAUGUGCUUUUGUACAUGUGCUAGGCGCACUACCAGCUCGUCUCAUGCUUUUUAAGCGAGGCGAAGCAAGAGCGUAUGUGCUGAGACCCGAAAGAUGGUGAACUAUGCUUGUGUAGGUUGAAGUCAGAGGAAACUCUGAUGGAGGACCGUAGCGAUUCUGACGUGCAAAUCGAUCSUCAMASMUGRGUAUAGGGGCGAAAGACUAAUCGAACCAUCUAGUAGCUGGUUCCUUCCGA
rnacentral:rRNA from 1 species